GACGAACGCUGGCGGCGUGCCUAAUACAUGCAAGUCGAACGCACUGGGGACGGUUGAGUAACACGUGGCUAACCUCCCCAUCAGAGUGGAUACCACUUGGAAACAGGUGCUAAACCGAUACUGUUUUCUGUACUCGCUGUGCAUUAGCUAGUUGGUGAGGAAACGGCUUACCAAGGCCACGAUGCAUAGCCGGCCUGAGAGGGUGAUCGGCCACACUGGGACUGAGACACGGCCCAGACGCAUACGGGAGGCAGCAGUGGGGAAUCUUGGGCAAUGGGCGAAAUUCUGACCGAGCAAGGCCGCGUGAGUGAAGAAGGUUUUCGGAUCGUAAAACUCUUUUGUUGGAGAAGCGGUAUCUAACCAGAAAGCAACGGCUAACUACGUGCCAGCAGCCGCGGUAAUAC
rnacentral:rRNA from 1 species